GGCCUUCGUCCUGCAGUGGACACAAAAUAGGCUGAUGAUGAUGAUUUUUUUCAGACAUGACAUCUCUCUCUUAUGGGGGGCUAGGACUUGAGUGCUUCACUGCGGGCAUUCUAACCAGUAUUUUCAGACAGAGUGGGUGGAAAAUUCAGCACUCAAGGCCAGUGGCAGAAAAGAAGCCUCGGAUCUGCAGGUCUACAGUGUCAUUGACGGUAACUUUAGAGGGCUGUUGUUUGUCUAGGUAUAAGUGCAGUGAUUCGUACUUCCAAAAUUCGUGGUGUACGGAAUGGAAGAAAAAUUGAUGGACACAUUUUAAGAAGAAAUUGUCAUGCACCCAGUGUAGCUGUAGUUGGGUGGAUGACAAUUUUUAUAUAAAACUCCCUUCCCCUUGCAGUUCCAUAGAACUGAGUCUCCACAAAUUUAAUUCAUUAAUUGCAGAACUGUUCGCAUGUGACAAUGAUUCGCAUAUCAGCCAAGACUGUUGAUUCUCUGAGUUACUUGCAUUAUUUGACUAGGUGCUUUGGUAUUCCAGAAGCUAUUCGAAGAUAUUCUACAUGGAAAAAUGCGACGACCUAUGCCAUUUGCGAAAGAGCAGUCAACUGGUUGAAGACUGGUACUUUGUGAGCGGGUAUUACUGGCUUGCGGAUCCAGCUGUCUUUCACAGAAUUACAUCUCACCGACCUCGCCGGGUCUGCAGCGCAUGCGCCGCUCAUCGCUGCCGACAGGGGAGCGUGGUCCAUGCUACGACACCUCCCACCGCCUUUGCCGGUUCAUCGCGCUUCUUGGAGCAUGGCUGUAUCCCUCGACCUGCGCAUAUGCGGUUUCACCAGUGCUCAUCUUAAAUGACUCACCGACACCGCUGCCAGUCCUGCUAUCUGACGCAAGUCAAGAUCUUUGGUGCCAGCAAGUCCAGUGACUCUACCAGCAAGUAAUCCAGGGCGCCAUCUUCAUACCUUUGCACACGGAUUCACAGCCGCCAGGAGCGACAUGUCCCUUCUGGCUCUACUUAAAGGGAAGCUGAAACGGUUUUCAAAUUCCAUGAAUUGCUGGGAUUGGGAAGAACCGACCUAUUAAUUUAUGGUUCUGAAAUUUUUUUCUUCGUUUUCUUAAUAUAAGGGGCGGAAAUUGCUU